UCCUUCACUAAAAAGCCUCCACAAUUUCCUGUCAAUAAGACUAUUGCUCUUGUUUUCAGGCUCUGGCAGCAGCACACGCCUGCAGGAUGUCUCCAGCUCUGUUCGGACUCCUCGUCGUCCUGCUCCCCUCAUAUGAAGCCAAGAGUGUGAAAUUUGAUCCCUCUCAUCCCAAAAUAGUUCCCAAAACAGAAACAGUGGAGUUUAAAUGCAAACACGAUGACAGUGAUUUGCCUGUGAUGCUCUGGUACCAGCAAACCCAGACAGUUGGCUUGAAUCUAAUCGGAUACGGCUACCAGGGCAGCGAUCCGAACUAUGAGGAGCAGUUCAAGACUGGCUUUGAGAUUAGGAGAGAAGACGUGAAAAAUGGGGCUCUGAUCAUUCGCAAUGUGAACAUAACAGACUCGGCUGUGUACUUCUGCGCUGCCAGUACACAGUGAUGUGGUCUGAUGAGAAACCCUGACUAAAAACACACUUUGGCUUCAGCAGCCUGAUGAAAGGCUGCGUCAGCUCCCAAUACACUCACACACAAUUGUGCAAGAUGAGUAACUGCACGUUGCUAAAUAUUUCACCGAU